rnacentral:lncRNA from 1 species
CCACGGCAGCGAAAGCCAGGGGAACAGCGAGCGCAGUUUCAAAGAGCUGCAGGGACCGGCUAGCACAGAUGGAGUUGAGGAAGCCAUCAGAAAAAUCGUUGCCCUCCUCCAGAGUGCAGGAGAUGAGCUGGAUAAGAAAGUAAAGGAAGAUGCACGACUACGGAUGUUUUUCAAAGAAAUGUCCUACAGCUCCUUCAAGAACUUGG